GAUGAACGCUGGCGGCGUGCCUAAUACAUGCAAGUCGAGCGGACGGACGAGAAUCUUGCUUCUCUGAUGUUAGCGGCGGACGGGUGAGUAACACGUGGCUAACCUACCUUUAAGACUGGGAUAACUUAGAGAAACCGGAGAUAAUACCGAAUAAUAUUUUGAACCGCAUGGUUCAAAAGGGAGAGGCGGUCUUGCUGUCACUUAUAGAUGGUUCCGCGCUGCAUUAGCUAGUUGGUAAGGUGACGGCAUACCAAGGCAACGAUGCAUAGCAGACCUCAGAGGGUGAUCGGCCACACUGGAACUGGGACACGGUCCAGACCCCUACGGGAGGCAGCAGUAGGGAAGCGUCCGCAAUGGGCGAGAGCCUGAGGGAGCAACGCCGCGUGAGUGAUGAAGGUCUUCGGAUCGUAAAACUCUGUUAUUAGGGAAGAACAUAUGUGUAAGUAACUGUGCACAUCUUGACGGUACCUAAACAGAAAGCCACGGCUAACUACGUG
rnacentral:rRNA from 1 species